GAAAAAUUAGUUAAUUUAUAAUAUUAAUUUGUCAAAUUAAAGUUAAUGAAAUUUUAUUAUUUUUUG
rnacentral:tRNA from 1 species